rnacentral:rRNA from 1 species
GACGAACGCUGGCGGCGUGCUUAACACAUGCAAGUCGAACGGAAAGGCCCUGCUUUUGUGGGGUGCUCGAGUGGCGAACGGGUGAGUAACACGUGAGUAACCUGCCCUUGACUUUGGGAUAACUUCAGGAAACUGGGGCUAAUACCGGAUAGGAGCUCCUGCUGCAUGGUGGGGGUUGGAAAGUUUCGGCGGUUGGGGAUGGACUCGCGGCUUAUCAGCUUGUUGGUGGGGUAGUGGCUUACCAAGGCUUUGACGGGUAGCCGGCCUGAGAGGGUGACCGGCCACAGUGGGACUGAGAUACGGCCCAGACUCCUACGGGAGGCAGCAGUGGGGAAUAUUGCACAAUGGGCGGAAGCCUGAUGCAGCAACGCCGCGUGCGGGAUGACGGCCUUCGGGUUGUAAACCGCUUUCGCCUGUGACGAAGCGUGAGUGACGGUAAUGGGGAAAGAAGCACCGGCUAACUACGU